AUUGAACGCUGGCGGCAGGCCUAACACAUGCAAGUCGAACGGUAGCACAGAGAGCUUGCUCUCGGGUGACGAGUGGCGGACGGGUGAGUAAUGUCUGGGAAACUGCCCGAUGGAGGGGGAUAACUACUGGAAACGGUAGCUAAUACCGCAUAACGUCUUUGGACCAAAGUGGGGGACCUUCGGGCCUCACACCAUCGGAUGUGCCCAGAUGGGAUUAGCUAGUAGGUGGGGUAAUGGCUCACCUAGGCGACGAUCCCUAGCUGGGCUGAGAGGAUGAACAGCCACACUGGAACUGAGACACGGUCCAGACUCCUACGGGAGGCAGCAGUGGGGAAUAUUGCACAGUGGGCGCAAGCCUGAUGCAGCCAUGCCGCGUGUAUGAAGAAGGCCUUCGGGUUGUAAAGUACUUUCAGCGGGGAGGAAGGUGUUGUGGUUAAUAACCACAGCAAUUGACGUUACCCGCAGAAGAAGCACCGGCUAACUCUGUGCCAGCCGCCGCAGUAACAC
rnacentral:rRNA from 1 species